AAAAUACUAAUUAAAAAACAACGAAACAUUGAGUUCUGCUCAGCCAACAGAAAGAAGGCAGAGGCCCGAAAAAAAUCAGGACAUUUCGAAAUGAGAAUCGCUAAGUACUUUGUAGCUCUGCCAUACUCUAAUGAGAAGCACAACAGUACCAUACAUGCAAAAAUACUGAAAUUGUUACUUUACAGAAUUGCUAGACGUCCAGAUGUUGGGGUCAGAGGAAGAAUGUUCAUUCCAGAGCAAGAGACCCACAUGGUGAACAUGGUGAUUGCCAAUAAUGUAAUAAGACUGCGCGAAAUACAGCAGCGCAUAAUUGACAAUGACACCAUCUUUCAAAAUAUACACAGUGUAAGCAUUUCUGCACUAAGUCCUGUACUUGCGCGCCACAGAAUAAGAAUGAAGCAAAUUUACAGAGUUCCUUUCGAGAGAAACACAGAACGUGUAAAGCAACAAAUAGCCAAUAAUUACAAAAAAUGUGCUUAAGCAAUCAGAAAAAACUGUAAUCAUACUACAGGAACUCUAUGGCUGUUCUGAGUCAUAUGUGGCUUUGCAGGAAGCAUUCUUUUCUCGUAAGCGACAUGAAGGGGAAACGUUACUUGAAUUUUCCCUCGCUCUCAUGAGCCUAAUGGAAAGGGUGAAGCAGUGUGCACCAGCUGGAAUGCUCAAUGCAGACUGUCUAUUGCGGGAUCAGUUUGUUGAGCAGGUUUUAGACAGCACCCUGAGGCGAGAGCUUAAACAGUUUGUUCGUCAUCAACCUGCAGCUACCUUGCUUGACGUCAGAGGGGAAUCAAUUCGGUGGGAGCGCGAUGGUCUGCCCAGCGCCUUCAGAGGCCGUAGUAACUCAGUCCCUUCCAUCAGUGGCAUUCAGUAUGGAGUUCAGGGUGCUCAUUCUGUUGCAUGUGUCCCUCCGUCCUCAGAAAUGGUAGAGCUGAAGUAAUUGUUGAGGCUGCAACAAGAGCAGCUUAACCAGUUAACCCAGACCCUCGCUCAUAUGCAGUGCCCUCAUGCUGGUAGUCAUUCAGCCCAUCGUUGGCCCAAACUGUGUCACCGCUGUCAGAGACCAGGCCAUUUUGCCAGAGACUGUGAUGGUGUGCAUAAUUCCCGCCCCCAGUUCUCUUCACCAGAUAUCCGGUCGCCUGCUAGGCAAGCAGAACCCAACCCGGCUCCGGAAAACUAGCACCCACCAAACUGCAGAGCCACAGUUUGGGUGGGGCCCUUCAUGGCUCACGCCCUGUGUCGGGUGGGUUAGUUCAAGGCCCCAGACUGGUGUCGUCCUGUUCCUAUUUAGAUGUCUAGUUUAGUUACAUGUCCUCAUGUCCCAUGGGAUGUCAUGGGGCAUGAGGUCCCAUGACCAAACAUGGCACCUCAAGGUGCCGUGUUUGAUUGACACCGGCUCUAUGGUUUCUACUAUUACAGAGAGCUUCUUUCAAAAUAUUUCGAACCUUUGGGUCAGGAGCGGCUCAAAGCCUGUCGUUGGAUACAGCUAAGGGCAGCUAAUGGUUUGAGCAUCCCUUACCUGGGCUAUUUGGAGCUCGAUGUUAAGUUGUACGGUAAACUAGUUUCACUGUGUGGUGUCUUGGUGGUAAAGGACCCCCCUGGUAAUGCUUCUCUUCAGGCCCCUGGUGUGUUGGGAAUGAAUGUGAUUCAGAAAUGUUACCAAGAGCUCUUUGUGCAGCAUGGUUUGUCCCUGUUUAAUCUGCCCUCUGUCACACAGGCCCCACAACCUGUCACGCCGGCAUUACAGAAGUGCCAUCAGGCAGACCCCCCAGGAGCUGACUUGGAUGGCAAAGGAUAGAGCCUCCCUGCAGGAAUCGCAGUCCCAUCCACUGUAGCCACCGUAGCUUCUCACACCACCUUACCUGCAGUGCCGGACCAGAUUGAGGGUUUAGAUCUGUCUUCUUUCCCCCGAAGAGCAAGGUCAGGUGAGGUCUCUCCUUAGUAAGUACAGUCCUAUUUUCUCUGCUCAUGACGGCGAUUUAGGCUGCACUAACCUCAUCUCUCACAAUAUUCCUCUGUUAGACGAGAUCCUCGUUACGCAGCGCUACAGGAGUGUUUCCCCUUCUGAUUAUGAGGCUGUCAAAGAACACAUUAAUCAGCUUCUUUCUGCACAGGUGAUUAGAGAAGGUUGUAGCCCCUAUCCCUCCCCCAUUGUGCUUGAGAAGAAGAAGGAGGGAGCCUGCGUAUGUGUGUCGAUUACCGGCAGCUAAACAGCAAGACCAGGAAAGAUGCGUUCCCGCUGCCACACAUUGAGGAGUCGUUGGAUUCCUUGACAGGUGCACGCUGGUUCUCUACCAUGGACCUGGCCAGUGGGUACAAUCAGGUUGAGGUCACGGAGAAGGACCGGCCUAAGACGGCAUUCUGUACACCAUUCGGCCUGUUUGAGUGGAACCGUAUGCCGUUCGGACUCUGAAACGCACCUGGCCCUUUUCAAAGAUUAAUGCAGAGGAUCUUUGGUGAUGAACAAGGUCUGUCACCUUGAUGACAUUGUCGUGUUCUCUUCUACUGUAGAGCAGCAUCUUCAGCGGCUUGACGUGGUACUAUCUCGGCUGCAACAGGAGAGACUCAAGGCCAAGCUCUCCAAAUGCACCUUUAGUUUAUCGUCGGGACAACGAUACAAAGAGGGGGGGUAGAUUGUAGCAGGAUGACUGCUCUUUGUCCAUGCGCGGUCUUGUCCCUUUCAUUGUCUGCCAUACAAGAAGGGAUCGGUAGUUCUGCUCUCUCUCUCUGGCGACGGGGGGCAUACCUUUCCUCUUCCGGGUUGCCUGGCUGCAGGUUUUGCAGACGCUCAGCACUCUGGUGUUGCGCAAAAUUGAGUUCCGCCGUGCAGGUACGUUAUAAUUAAUUGCAUGCAUCAUGUACAGAUGAAACAGUUGUGCAAAUUGCCAUUUGAAAAAAAUUCAGAGAGUGAAAAACCUGCGUCAUGAAAAUGUUCAGGUAAGUAUAGAAAUGUACACUUUUGGUGGGUUUUUCACUGGGUGUGUUCAAUGUGGAUACAGUACAGUUAGAGAUGUUUUUUUGUUCAAACAAAUUACUACAGUAUUGACUGUAUAUGUAAAGUGCAAAGGCACUUUACACAAAACCUACAUGUACAUUGAUACAUCAAAAGACCUAUAUGUAUUACAGUAGGCCUACUGUAAACUACAAUGUGCUAUGUUCUGUUUUUGGUCUUUCAUUUUGCAAAAGAUUUGAGGUGUUCUGCUA